CCCAGACUCCUACGGGAGGCAGCAGUGGGGGAUAUUGCACAAUGGGGGGAACCCUGAUGCAGCGACGCCGCGUGGGUGAAGGAGCGUUUCGGCGCGUAAAGCCCUAUCGGCAGGGAAGAAGGAGGACGGUACCUGACUAAGAAGCCCCGGCUAACUACGUGCCAGCAGCCGCGGUAAUACGUAGGGGGCAAGCGUUAUCCGGAUUUACUGGGUGUAAAGGGGGCGCAGACGGCAGCGCAAGCCAGGAGUGAAAGCCCGGGGCCCAACCCCGGGACUGCUCUUGGAACUGCGCGGCUGGAGUGCAGGAGGGGCAGGCGGAAUUCCUGGUGUAGCGGUGAAAUGCGCAGAUAUCAGGAGGAACACCGGUGGCGAAGGCGGCCUGCUGGACGGUAACUGACGCUGAGGCUCGAAAGCGUGGGUAGCAAACAGGAUUAGAUACCCGGGUAG
rnacentral:rRNA from 1 species